rnacentral:lncRNA from 1 species
UCCAUGUGUAUGCAAGUACAUCUCCAGGGUUAUUGAGGAGGUUAUCGACAUGGACAAGGUGGUUCAUGUUGCUGAUUUCUGUGGCAAACCACUUACCCAUGGCAUGAAAUGUGGAAGUCAGUAACUUCAAUCUCUUCUUUCGAUUAAAUGUUAUCUAAAUCGCAGGCUACAUAGUCCCCAGAGCUGGUUGACAAGAGCAUAAAUAUAUACAAGUAUUUAUGAUAUCCAUUCAAUAUAAUCAUCUAAAAUUAUAAUAAAUUCUCAUCUAAAAAAUAAUAAACUCUCUAUAUAAAUAUAAUAUUUUAAUUUUUAAUUAAUUAAAAGUAUAAAUCGAUUUGUAUAUUUGAAUAAUUACAAGAAUUUGUUCCAUCUAGAAUAUAAAUAUAGAAAAAAAAAAUCUUAUUCUAGUGUGGAAUUGAAAUAAUUUAUAAAAUAAUUGUUUUUUAAUGAUAAGGAUCAAUAAAAAGCAGCAUAAGAUGGAUAUGCAAAAUGUAUACAAAUAUUUGCCCAAUUGGAAGAGUUAAUUAAAAGCCACAAAAAUAAAAUAAUAUAUUGUUAGUGGCGAUGCCACUGUAUAAAGCAGCUAUUAAAGUCUCUCUAAUCCAUCAUAUUACUGCCUAUAAUUCAGCUUCUUUUUCUUAAUUAAAUUUAAAUAAUCAAAGGGAUCACUAAUUGAACGAGGUGAUUAUAUGAUGACAACUAACAGUUAACAGAAAAAAAAAAAGAGAUGUAAAAAAAAAAAAACAUCACAUUCGUAAAUUUAAUUUGAUGGUAAAUGCAUCUCAAUAAAUUUUACAGCUCUUCCGUACUCUUCCAACUCCCAUUUUAAAAAAAAAAUCUCAAAAGUAGAAAAAUUACAUUUUUCAUACCAUAAAUGUGAAAAAACCUCAUAAUAAACUCAAAGCUGUAAGACAAAAGAUUCAAUUUUAUAGUGAAAAAUCAAGAAAGACAGCAAUGGUUUUUAUUUUAAUUCUCGUUUUAUUAAUAAUAAUCGCAACGCAAAUUUUAUUAAAAUAUAUAUAAUCAAUUAUAUAAAAAUUUCCAUAAUUAUUAAUAAAAUUUUCUGUUAAUAAAUAAUGUAAUUCUGAAAAUAAAAUAAUUUAUUAAUAGACAAUGAUGACAGAAUGAUGCAAUUAAUGACAAUAAUGACGUUGAAUAAUAGAUAGUAAUCAUGCAAAAUAGAACUUCAGCGAAAUUAAAAUUUGUAAAUCUAUAAAAAUAACACGAUAUAAAUUUAUUAUGAACUUAUUAAUAAAUUUUUAACAUACUGUAUAUUUAUUAAUAUUUUAUUAACGAAUUUGCAAUAAAUUUGAGUCUGCUAAUAAAAUUUUUUAGUAAAUCUUUUAUCAUGACAUUUACAUUUAUAUAAUAUAAUAAUCAUUUGUCAUACUAAUUAACGAAAAGAUUUAAGAAUUUUAAAGUUAAAAAAAAAGGAAAAAUCUCAAAUUUACCCUUAAACUUUUAGCCCAUGUUCAAAUAUGUCCAUCUUAAAGUUUGUCCCAAUAUUCACCCACAUCUUCCUUUUUAAGCUCAACUUAACCCAUUUUUUUGUCAAAAAAUUAAAAUAAUAAUACCACUAAUAUUUUACUAAUAAAUAUUUUUAUAUUUUAAAUAUUAAAGAUUCAACAAAAUAAAAUAAAAAAAAUAAAAACCAAAAUCAAACCUGCCUCACGUCACUUUCCCUUUCCCUUUCCCCUUCAUUCUCCAGCUCUAAUAAUU